AAUGAACGUUGGCGGCGUGGAUUAGGCAUGCAAGUCGCACGAGAAACCAAUUAGCUUGCUAUGAGGUGGACAGUGGCGCAAGGGAGAGUAACGUGUGGUUACUUGCCCUCGAGACCGGGAUAGUGUCGGGAAACUGGCAGUAAUACCGGAUAACAUCUUCGGAUCAAAUGGUGUGAUUCCGCUCGAGGAUAGGACCGCAUACUAUUAGCUUGUUGGUGAGGUAACGGCUCACCAAGGCUGCGAUGGUUACCGGGUGUGAGAGCAUGGCCCGGCUCACUGGGACUGAGACACUGCCCAGACACCUACGGGUGGCUGCAGUCGAGAAUCUUCGGCAAUGGGCGAAAGCCUGACCGAGCGACGCCGCGUGCGGGAUGAAGGCCCUCGGGUUGUAAACCGCUGUCAGUUUGGAGGAAAUGCAUGGUGGUCAUCCAUCAUGCUUGACCGAUAUUCAGAGGAAGGACGGGCUAAGUUCG
rnacentral:rRNA from 1 species